AUAUUUAUAUAUCAAUGCCCAUGCACAACUAUUUGUUGGUAUACUGUAAUGACGCCACGUUGCCAGCGCCUGACAGGGAACAGCAAAACUCGUGAUCCAGUGAGAUUUAUUGUACAACUGACAACCAUCCUUCACAAAACGACGUUACACCCAGCUUCUGAAUUGCAGCAGAUGGCACGGACACAGUGCAUGUAACUACAUAAGUCAAUCAAAACUUCGAAGAGGCAAUUAUCCUUGUUGAACACUUGCUCUGUGACACAAACUACUCCUGUAUCAACCGGAUAAAUUCAUCAGGAGACUCGUAAAAAACCAAAAGAAUCGCUUGUAAAAUGUCUUGAAGCGCCCAAUAAAUGGACAACUUCCAAUC